AACGGCUCAGUAACACGUAGAUAAUUUGCCCUUUAGGUGGAGGAUACCCUCGGGAAACUGAGAAUAAUACUCCAUAGAUUUAGAAUGCUGGAAUGCUUUUAAAUUGAAAGAUUUAUCGCCUAAGGAUAAGUCUGCGGACUAUCAGGUCGUAGUUAGGGUAAAUACCUGACUAGCCUACGACGGAUACGGGUUGUGAGAGCACUAGCCCGGAGAUGAUAUCUGAGACACGAUAUCAGGCCCUACGGGGCGCAGCAGGCGCGAAAACUUCGCACUGUGCGAAAGCACGACGAGGGAAUCCCAAGUGCUGGCUCGUAAGAGUCAGCUGUUUCUUUGUCUAAAAAACAGAGAGAGUAAGAGCUGGGUAAGACGGGUGCCAGCCGCCGCGGUAAUACCUGCAGCUCAAGUGGUGGCCGCUAUUAUUGGGCCUAAAACGUCCGUAGCCGGUUCUAUAAAUGCCUGGGUAAAUCGUACGGCUUAACCGUACGAAUUCCGGGUAGACUGUUCAACUUGGGACCGGGAGAGGCUAGAGGUACUCCUGGGGUAGAGGUGAAAUUCUGUAAUCCUAGGGGGACCACCAGUGGCGAAGGCGUCUAGCUAGAACGGGUCUGACGGUGAGGACGAAGCCCUGGGGAGCAACGGGAUUAGAUACC
rnacentral:rRNA from 1 species